GUUUGAUCAUGGCCCAGGAUGAACGCUGGCGGCGUGCCUAACACAUGCAAGUCGAGCGAUUCUCUUCGGAGAAGAGCGGCGGACGGGUGAGUAACGCGUGGGUAACCUGCCCUGUACACACGGAUAACAUACCGAAAGGUAUGCUAAUACGAGAUAAUAUGCUUUUAUCGCAUGGUAGAAGUAUCAAAGCUCCGGCGGUACAGGAUGGACCCGCGUCUGAUUAGCUAGUUGGUAAGGUAACGGCUUACCAAGGCGACGAUCAGUAGCCGACCUGAGAGGGUGAUCGGCCACAUUGGAACUGAGACACGGUCCAAACUCCUACGGGAGGCAGCAGUGGGGAAUAUUGCACAAUGGGCGAAAGCCUGAUGCAGCAACGCCGCGUGAGCGAUGAAGGCCUUCGGGUCGUAAAGCUCUGUCCUCAAGGAAGAUAAUGACGGUACUUGAGGAGGAAGCCCCGGCUAACUACGUG
rnacentral:rRNA from 1 species